GCCAUCCCAGGCUGAAGAGCCAAGGAUGGAUUUUCUCCUGAAGAGAUCUUUCUGAAGGACGACAAGUCGAUUUGAAAUUUACACUCAAUGAGGACAGAACAAUAGCCUAGUCAAAUAUUACCGUUUUCCCUGGUGUUGAAGGUGUUUCUUGUCCUCUUGGUGCUUAAUGGUCAUGAUCUUAAACUAUUAUCAGUUAAAGUUGAUGAUGAAGAACUUAAGCCUUGGCGACUUGUUUUGUUCAUAAUCUCAUCGUUACUUCGUUUCGUUGAUGAUCUCGUCGUUACUUCUCCUGACCUGUAGUAGGUGGAUUCCUACAGGUGAAGACUGUUUAUUAGUUUUUUAAUUGUUAGCUUUGGCUUAAUGGUUCACGA